GAUGAACGCUAGCUACAGGCUUAACACAUGCAAGUCGAGGGGAAACGGCAUUAAGUGCUUGCACUUUUUGGACGUCGACCGGCGCACGGGUGAGUAACGCGUAUCCAACCUGCCCCUUACCAGGGAAUAACCCGUUGAAAGACGGACUAAUGCCCUAUGCAGUCCUUUGACGGCAUCAGAUUAGGACUAAAGAUUCAUCGGUAUGGGAUGGGGAUGCGUCUGAUUAGCUUGUUGGCGGGGUAACGGCCCACCAAGGCAUCGAUCAGUAGGGGUUCUGAGAGGAAGGUCCCCCACAUAGGAACUGAGACACGGUCCUAACUCCUACGGGAGGCAGCAGUGAGGAAUAUUGGUCAAUGGGCGCUAGCCUGAACCAGCCAAGUAGCGUGCAGGACGACGGCCCUAUGGGUUGUAAACUGCUUUUAUGCGGGGAUAAAGUCACCCACGUGUGGGUGUUUGCAGGUACCGCAUGAAUAAGGACCGGCUAAUUCCGU
rnacentral:rRNA from 1 species